GCGAACGGGUGAGUAACACGUGAGCAACCUGCCCUAGGCUUUGGGAUAACCCUCGGAAACGGGGGCUAAUACCGAAUAUGACCCACGAUCGCAUGGUUGUGGGUGGAAAGUUUUUCGGCCUGGGAUGGGCUCGCGGCCUAUCAGCUUGUUGGUGGGGUGAUGGCCUACCAAGGCGACGACGGGUAGCCGGCCUGAGAGGGCGACCGGCCACACUGGGACUGAGACACGGCCCAGACUCCUACGGGAGGCAGCAGUGGGGAAUAUUGCACAAUGGGCGGAAGCCUGAUGCAGCGACGCCGCGUGAGGGAUGACGGCCUUCGGGUUGUAAACCUCUUUCAGCAGGGACGAAGCGUAAGUGACGGUACCUGCAGAAGAAGCACCGGCCAACUACGUGCCAGCAGCCGCGGUAAGACGUAGGGUGCGAGCGUUGUCCGGAUUUAUUGGGCGUAAAGAGCUCGUAGGCGGCUUGUCGCGUCGACUGUGAAAACCCGCAGCUCAACUGCGGGCCUGCAGUCGAUACGGGCAGGCUAGAGUUCGGUAGGGGAGACUGGAAUUCCUGGUGUAGCGGUGAAAUGCGCAGAUAUCAGGAGGAACACCGGUGGCGAAGGCGGGUCUCUGGGCCGAUACUGACGCUGAGGAGC
rnacentral:rRNA from 1 species